rnacentral:rRNA from 1 species
AUGAACAAAACCGGGCGGCUGGCUUUGGUCAAAUCGGUGCUCGCCGCGAUUCCGAUACAUCAACUGCUCGCGUUCGCGCCGCCCAAGAAGACCUUGAGACAGCUCGAAAAGAUCCAGCGCGGCUUCUUGUGGGCCGGGAGCGCCGUUGCUAAUGGCGGACACUGCCAUGUCAACUGGCGACGUGUGUGCCGCCCGCUCGAGUACGGCGGACUUGGGGUCCAGGAUCUGGAGCGUGCUGGCCUCGCGCUGCGCCUGCGCUGGAUGUGGCUCUCCCACACGGACGACGAUCGCGCAUGGCGAGGCCUCGACCUCCAGUUUUCCCGCGAGGAGCGCGCGUUGUUCUUCGCAUCGACGACCAUAGAGCUUGGUGAUGGACAGACAACACUGUUUUGGGAUGACCGAUGGCUCAAUGGUCAGUCCGUGCGUGAACUCGCACGGGCACUCUACCAAUGCAUCCCCAAACGGCGACGCAAGUCGAGAACGGUGGCCGCAGGCCUUGCGGGCAACGCUUGGGCUCGUGACAUUCAAGGAGUGAUCGGGAUUCAUGAGAUUGGCCAAUAUCUCAGACUUUGGCAUGCCGUGCAGCACAUCAGCCUACCAAACCGGCCUGACCGGAUGCUUUGGAGAUGGACGGCUAGUGGCACCUAUACGGCACGGUCAUGCUACGCUGCAACCUUCCACGGAUCUAUGAAAUGCCCCUCCUGGAAGCUUACAUGGAAGAGCUGGGCACCGCGACGCGUCCAUUUCUUUCACUGGUUGGCUAGCCAGGACCGGUGUUGGACGGCGGAUAGACUCGCCCGUCGCGGCCUACAGCACCAUCCACGAUGCCGCCUCUAUGAUCAGGCCCCAGAGUCGAUGUGGCACCUGCUCCUAGAAUGCCCGUUUACGCGGCAGGUUUGGUACGACGUGCUGGCU